ensembl:lncRNA
GAAAAGGUCACUAGCAAAAACUUAAGCAGAGCCUAUUUGAUGACUGAAUCAAACACUCGAAGAUGAGAAAAGUUGACCUGAGAAGAUGAGGGGCAAGGCGUAGAAACAUAAGCCAAGGAGUUACGUGUUGUAAGCAGUUGGAAUGAUGGAAACCAACCAGGACCUCAUCUCUUGGUAUAGAAGCCACAGCUGUAGCAGCUCAAGUGCCUGGCAGAUGCCAACAGAACCCCGCCACCCUUGAACUAGAAGCAUCUGUCCCUCAUCCCACAUGUGAAACGGAG